GUAGCCGGUCCCAAGGGUAUGGCUGUUCGCCAUUUAAAGUGGUACGUGAGCUGGGUUUAAAACGUCGUGAGACAGUUUGGUCCCUAUCUGCCGUGGGCGUUGGAAGUUUGAGAGGACCUGCUCCUAGUACGAGAGGACCGGAGUGGACGCACCUCUGGUGUACCGGUUAUGACGCCAGUCGUAUCGCCGGGUAGCUAAGUGUGGAAGAGAUAACCGCUGAAAGCAUCUAAGCGGGAAACUCGCCUCAAGAUGAGACUUCCCGGGGGUUAAACCCCCCUAAAGGUUCGUCGAAGACUACGACGUUGAUAGGUCGGGUGUGGAAGCGCAGUAAUGCGUUAAGCUAACCGAUACUAAUUGACCGUGCGGCUUGAUCCUAUAACCUUA
rnacentral:rRNA from 1 species